rnacentral:lncRNA from 1 species
GUUUACUGCUGGAGGACACAGAGGCUGCGUUCCGAAUUGCACACUAUUCCCUAUAUAGUGCACUACUUUAGACCAGGGCUGGCACCCUAUUCCCUAUAUAGGGCACUACUUUAGACCAGGGCUGGCACCCUAUUCCCUAUAUAGGGCACUACUUUAGACCAGGGCUGGCACCCUAUUCCCUAUAUAGUGCACUACUUUAGACCAGAGAUGGCACCCUAUUCCCUAUAUAGUGCCCUACUUUAGACCAGGGCUCAUAGGGUCCUGGUUCACUAUAUAGGGAAUAAGGUGCCAUUUGUGACACAGUCAGAGAUGCUGUAGCAACAAAGCUGUUUCAGUAGUAAAAACAAGUCACAGAGAGUGUACAAAACAUUAAGAACACCUGCUCUUUCCAUGACAUAGACUGACCAGGUGAAUCCAGGUGAAAGAUAUGAUCCCUUAUUGAUGUCACCUGUUAAAUCCACUUCAAUCAGUGUAGAUGAAGGGGAGGAGACAUUUUUAAAAAAUGAUUUUUUUAAGCCUUGAGACAAUUGAGACAUGGAUUGUGUAUGUGUGCCAUUCAGAGGGUAAAUGGACAAGACAAAAAUAUGUAAGUGCCUUUGAACGGGGUAUGGUAGUAGGUGCCAGGCGCACAGGUUUGUGUCAAGAACUGCAACGCUGCUGGGUUUUUCCCCACUCUCAACAGUUUCCUGUGUGUAUCAAGAACGGUCCACCACCCAAAGGACAUCCAGCCAACUUGCCACAACGGUGAGAAGCAUUGGAGUCAACAUGGGCCAGCGUCCCUGUGGAAAUGCUUUUGACACCUUGUAGAGUCCAUUCCCCGACCAACUGAGGCUGUUCUGAGGACAGAAGGGGCUGGAACUCAAUAUUAGGAAGGUGUUCCUAAUGUUUUGUCCCUGAGGACUACCAGGUCAUUAAAACCGAUGCUCCCCUGGUAUUGACUACCAGGUCAUUAAAACCCCUGGUCCCCUGGUAUUGACUACCAGGUCAUUAAAACCCCUGGUCCCCUGGUACUGACUACCAGGUCAUUAAAACCCCUGGUAUUGACUACCAGGUCAUUAAAACCCCUGUACUGCCUGUUAACUCAGCAUGGUCAGAAACACCCCUCCCCUGUUAUCAGAGUCUCCCUUGUCUCCACUCCUGGUGUAGGUCAACUCCCUUCGUCUGUAGGAGUAGAGACCACUGCGGAGAUCU